AAUGAACGCUGGCGGCAUGCCUAACACAUGCAAGUCGAACGACAGCACCGGAAGCGCUGGCUCUUGCGGGUGGCGAGGGGCGGAAGGGUAACGUAUGCAUAGCAUACCUAUUUGACGGGGGGGAUAACGUCGGACAAUAUCUUCUAAUCACAGAUAUGACGAACCGGAUAGGGCAGGAGAUGAAGUGGCUUGUGGGGAUAGUAAUAGCCGAUGUCGGAUUAGGUAGUUGGCUGGGUAAAGGCGUACCAAAGCGACGCUGCGUAGCUGCUCUGAGAGGGUGAUCAGCCACACUGGCUCUGAGAAACGGUCCAGACUCUUACGGUAGGCCACAGUGGGGACUCCUGCGCAAUGGGGGAAAGCCUGAUAGAGCAACACCGCGUGGGUGAUGAAGGACUUCGGGUGGUAGAGCGCUGUUGUUCGGAAAGAAGAAAAGCAGGUUUAUCCGCGGUUAUUAUGACGGUACCCAAAGAAUAAGCACCGGCUAACUCCGUG
rnacentral:rRNA from 1 species